rnacentral:rRNA from 1 species
CCUACGGGUGGCAGCAGUGGGGGAUAUUGCACAAUGCGGGAAACCCUGAUGCAGCGACGCCGCGUGAGUGACGAAGUAUUUCGGUACGUAAAGCUCUAUCAGCAGGGAAGAAAAUGACAGUACCUGACUAAGAAGCUCUGGCUAACUACGUGCCAGCAGCCGCGGUAAUACGUAGGGGGCGAGCGUUCUCCGGAUUUACUGGGUGUAAAGGGAGCGUAGACGGUUAUGUAAGUCUGGAGUGAAAGCCCGGGGCCCAACCUCGGGACUGCUUUGGAAACUGUGUAACUGGAGUACAGGAGGGGCAUGCAGAAUUCCUGGUGUAGCGGUGAAAUGCGUAGAUAUCAGGAGGAACACCGGCGGCGAAGGCGGCCUGCUGGACUGAAACUGACGUUGAGGCUCGAAAGCGUGGGGAGCAAACAGGAUUAGAUACCCUAGUAGUC